UCGUCCUCGUGGAUCGUCAGCUGAUGAGGAAAAUGGUCCAGGAGACGACGCUGACGAACGAAUCUAUCGAGCGCAUCUUAAUUGGUCGAAGAAAGACGAUUGCAUGCAUAUUCGUGGUCGUUUACCUGACUAACUCUUCUGGAAGUAUUUCUGUGAGUUUUCUACAGAAGCUGACCAUCACGAACUACCCACAUAUCAAAGUGCUGGCCAUAGGACUACCCGGAGGAGAAGCAGACUUCCUCAUGAGUCACGCCUUUCGGAACACCGUCCACGCCCUCUACUUCGCCCUGGUCUCCAGCAGCUGGGACAGCAAGCCUAUGGAGGCGCCCUGCUACGGGAAACCACUUGCCAGCAUCUACAAAACAUGCAGGGAGUAUAAAAGUCUAUCUCCGGUGUCUGUUCUGUGACGCUGGAAGCAGCAAAGUGGUCCUGACGGACAUUUGGUACCCGGAAACUGGCUGGAAGCGCCAAAGAAAUUUCUUUCCAG